rfam:Triticum aestivum genome assembly, contig: Triticum_aestivum_CS42_TGACv1_scaffold_061101_1DL
AAGAUACUCCCUCCGUCCGAAAAUACUUGUCAUUAAAAUAGAUGUAUCUUAGAUGUAUUUUUAGUUAUAGAUACAUCCAUUUUCAUUCAUUUUGAUGACAAGUAUUUCCGGACGGAGGGAGUAUUAA